rnacentral:rRNA from 1 species
UACGAAGGGGGCUAGCGUUGUUCGGAAUUACUGGGCGUAAAGCGUGCGCAGGCGGUUUUGUAAGUUUGUCGUGAAAUCCCCGGGCUCAACCUGGGAAUGGCGAUGAAGACUGCAAGGCUAGAAUCUGGCAGAGGGGGGUAGAAUUCCACGUGUAGCAGUGAAAUGCGUAGAGAUGUGGAGGAACACCGAUGGCGAAGGCAGCCCCCUGGGUCAAGAUUGACGCUCAUGCACGAAAGCGUGGGGAGCAAACAGG